rnacentral:lncRNA from 1 species
AUGGCAUAGACAAAUGGACUACCCUUAGUUAUUUAAGUUCUCUUAACCAAAAAAAGAUGGUUUUGCAGAGUCAUGAUGACUAGUUGAAAUUAUGGCUCUCAGAAGGAAUUUACUUCUUUAAAAAUAGUUGCUUUGACUGUGUGUGUGUGUGUGUGUGUAUGUGUGUGUGUGUGCUUAGUUGAAAUAAGUCUGCAUGCAGAAGUGCUUUUAAAAUAUACUCCACAUAAUUUUAACCUAAGCACAAUAGUUUAAUUGAGAUUGACAGGCAAAGUACAAUGUUAUGAAAGAAAAUGUCAUCAUCUUUGUUAAGAGCAUGAAAGCGGCUUUAACAUAGUAUUUACCUGUCAUUUGAGAGUGUGAGGUUACUGUGCUAAUCUGGAGAAGUGGCCAGACUGCUCUACCGUUUCUGGGAAAAAGAGUAGGUGGGCACAGGUGAAAUCACAAAUGAAAACUCUAUAGCAAGUAGAACUAAGUGAUCUAUGUCUCUUACCACACACCAGAGAAGACUUGAGACUUAUCGAAGAGAAAAAUCUAAAAUUGCCUUGGGUGGUUGAUUCUGAGAAUGAGGCAAGUCUCCUGUUCUGUGUAAGCCGAACAUGAGGUCCUAAUGUUCAGUUUCCCAAGGGUCAUCACCCUAUAAGGGACUGAGUUGUCACCGCAGCAUCUGUCCACAGGCAUUUCCUGACUCAGUAAUUUCUCUGCAGGACGAGGACGGGGAACAGGGCGGGCUCCUGCCUGCGGUGUAGACCUUGGUCACAGCUGUGCCACGGUGACAAGAAGAGUAAAACUAAACUGCCGAGAGAAGGGCUUGAGUUUAUCUGAGACAUGGAGAACAACGGAUCAACAUCUCCUCAUAAUAAUCCCCUGAACACCUGAAGACAGCUGUGAGCGCUUAAAGAUUUGCUGAGGCUAAUCUGAAC